GGUUUUAUUUUGAAAGUGGUUUGGUUUUAGGCCGGCCCGGAAGUUGUCGCGUACGCUUUGUUUCUCGCGUGUUGUACUUCUGAGCCAACACCGGUGGAAAUGUCGUUCUGUUCCUUCUACGGUCGGGAGGUUUAUAAAGACCAUUUCACACCAGGAAUUUACGCAUGCGCCAAGUGUGAUCACCAUCUGUUCUCCAGCCGCUCCAAGUACGAGCAUUCGUCUCCCUGGCCGGCCUUCACGGAGACCGUCCGCCAAGACAGCGUGGCCAAACGCCAGGAGAGCCCUGGAGCCUUCAAGGUGUUGUGUGGCAUGUGUGGAAAUGGCCUCGGCCACGAGUUUGUCAACGACGGGCCUGCUAAAGGCUUGUCUCGUUUUUGAAUAUUCAGCAGCUCACUAAAGUUCAUCCCUAAAGGUGCCCAGACUUGCGAGUAAAAUUCAUUCCAUGGCCGUGCUCGGAAUUUCUAUGUCAAAUCGUCUUUCCCCAUUGAAAUAAAUGGAAAUGGCAUUAUUCCGUUCCCGCCACACAUUGCGCCUGGGCCACCAAAGGGAAGUGUAAUACGGACACGAACGAAGAAUUUCACAAGUUACUCGAAAAGGUUGAUGGACAGUAAAGUGAGCGUUGAGGAGGAAGUUCAGCUUGACUUGUAAACAUUCGCAGAUGUUGAUGAUGCUCAGUAAGUGCGGACAGCGAAUGACGCGCUCUGGGGAAAAAGCCCGACCCGGCAGCACCAGAGUUCUGAUGGACCCUGGCCUCACUGGACAGCAACAGUAAAACAAACAAACAAAAAAUACUUUUUUUUUGUCAUGCAGUAAUUGAGACUCAGGAAAGCCUUAGCUAACUUUUGCACUCGUUGAGUUUUUAUCUUCUGGAACAUCUUAGAAAUUCAUUGUUACGUUUUCAUCCUCAGAAUAUUAACAUGUAAACACAAUGUUGGGUCUAUUUUUGUCAAUCAAGGAAAUGUAUGAUAAAACAGAUGUAACAUAUUUUAAUAUUUAUUAAAAUACUAUCCAUUAUCUCGUGAUGAAAAGAACCAGUACUUAGCCACUUAACUCCAGCGGCAUGUUUAAGGAAACAAAUCUAAUAAAUAUAUUUGAACGUA